rnacentral:tmRNA from 1 species
GGGGAUGCUUAGGUUUCGACAGGAAUAUUUAGGUAUAAAUGGCAAGUGGAAGGUACUCCUUACGUACAAAAACCGAAUAAACGGAAACAAAUUAAAAAAUGCAUUUGCUAGAGCUUUCAGAGGAAACGCUGUAGCAUUCGCCUAAUUUAAUAUAAAGGCAUGCGCUCUUCUUUAAUUUUCUCCUAUUGGAUUUUAGAAGGGCUCGAUUAAAUAGGAUAUAUUAUUACUUAGUCUUGAAGUAAUAACGAAAUUUAAAGACUUACUAAAUAAUUGUUUGUUUACUAACGUAUUAUUUAGGACAUUUAUUAGUAAACUAAACUUGUAGAUAUUUAUACUCGCGUAUUUUUGGACAGGAGUUCGAUUCUCCUCAUCUCCACCA